rnacentral:rRNA from 1 species
CCUACGGGUGGCAGCAGUGAGGAAUAUUGGUCAAUGGACGAGAGUCUGAACCAGCCAAGUAGCGUGAAGGAUGACUGCCCUACGGGUUGUAAACUUCUUUUAUAAAGGAAUAAAGUGAGGCACGUGUGCCUUUUUGUAUGUACUUUAUGAAUAAGGAUCGGCUAACUCCGUGCCAGCAGCCGCGGUAAUACGGAGGAUCCGAGCGUUAUCCGGAUUUAUUGGGUUUAAAGGGUGCGUAGGCGGGCUGUUAAGUCAGCGGUAAAAGCCCGGGGCUCAACCCCGGCGAGCCGUUGAAACUGGCGGUCUUGAGAUGGCGAGAGGUAUGCGGAAUGCGCAGUGUAGCGGUGAAAUGCUUAGAUAUUGCGCAGAACUCCGAUUGCGAAGGCAGCAUACCGGCGGCGAUCUGACGCUGAGGCACGAAAGCGUGGGUAUCGAACAGGAUUAGAUACCCCAGUAGUC